rnacentral:rRNA from 1 species
UACGGGGGAGCAAGCGUUGUUCGGAUUUACUGGGCGUAAAGGGCGCGUAGGCGGUCAGCACAAGUCAGUUGUGAAAUCUCCGGGCUUAACUCGGAAAGGUCAACUGAUACUGUGCGACUAGAGUGCGGAAGGGGCAACUGGAAUUCUCGGUGUAGCGGUGAAAUGCGUAGAUAUCGAGAGGAACACCUGCGGCGAAGGCGGGUGCUGGGCCGACACUGACGCUGAUGCGCGAAAGCUAGGGGAGCGAACGGG